AUGCGUGUCUGGAAGACAGGCCACAGGAAAGAGGAAGAGUAUUUUUCUGGGCUACUGCUGAGUCAGAAAAACUUAGCUCCCAAAUGGACUGUACCAAGAGGUCUUACCUGGCUGGAAACUGAUUCACAGCACAGCAAAGAGGCCGUAGCUAUCGCUCUUGAGUGCUGCCUGGAUCGUGUUACUGGAGUCAAGUGUGAGAAACUCAUAAAAGAUGCAGCAGCUUCUGGGUGCAUGAAAGCCCCUGCUGUGACACCUUCUCGUGCUCCCCGAAGGGCAUCUUUUAUCCGGACAUUAUACAAAGGAAAGAAGAGAGCUAUAUGUGACUUCGGGCAACUGUAUCAGUCUGGGCAGGAAACAGCUGCCAUUGUCAAAUCCGGUCAUUGAAAACAGUUUGCAAAAAGAGGCCAUUCCCAAAG
rnacentral:lncRNA from 1 species